rnacentral:lncRNA from 1 species
CCAAAGACUCAUUAACUUAACUAACUACUAUCUAAUACUCGGCCGAUUCCCUGAUCGCCCCAUCCUGUGUAUUGGGCUUGUUAAUUGGCCCAAUGCUAUUUAUUAUUUAUUGAUAACUUUGCAGCCUAGUCCUCGACAUUAAUUCGUCUCUAAUAAGCCUGCAUUCAGAUAUUAUAUUUAAUCACAAGUUAGUCCAACGAGUGUUUAUCAUCUAAUUACUUUUUUUAAAAAGAAGUCCGCAAUAGAUAUAAACUUAUUAGAAUUCCAAGAUCAAAUGCAAGACAAAGAUGGGAUUUAAAUAGGACUAAACGUUAUUUAGUGUCUUAAGUUUUAAGAAAAACUAUAGAAUAUAGCUAUUCUGCUAUACAAUUUUAUUUCAAAUUAGAAUAUAGCAGACUAACAGAUGCUCAUCUUUGCAAUGCAGAUGCUUUUUUACUUGUGUGUUAUGUAAUCAGGGUAUUCUGAAAAUUAGAUGAUGAUCGAAUGAAUAUAUUUUUCCAGAAACUUCAAUUCUUCUAUUCAAAUUUCAUAUCAACAACAUUUUUUUCAUUUUACAUUUCAAUUUCAAUUUCAAUUCCAAUCAUUUUUUAUGCAUAGAUUAAAUUACCCCCAUAAGAUAAAUUUUCUAUAGUAUAUAUGCUUGUUUGAACAAUGCUUGAAAAUCCUAGAUAACCAUGCUCAAUGCAAACUGAUAGUUUAUGUUAUUAGCGAUUUCAGAGUUACUGUUGAUGUUAUAUAUGGAUUCUAAAUUUUUUGAUAGAAGAUGUUGGUUAGAAGAUUGAACACUCCAUAACUUUUUACUCCAUAUAUCUUAGUCACUAUAGUUCAAAUAGAAUAACAAAAGGGUGAUUAUUUUUGAUAUAAAACCAUAUAACUUAACAACAAAUUUUAAACAAAAUAUUGGAUAAACUCAAUCAUACUUGUUCAGUGAUGUUCUUGCUUGGAAUGUCAUCUCGUUGGAGACUAAGUUUGAGGAGCGGAAAAGAAGAAUAGAUCUUGGAAUCCCAACUAGGAAUCAUUGCUGCUUCAUCACGUGAAUCCAUCUUCCGCUACUGCUAAACUAUUCCAAACAAUUCUGCAUCUCUGUCUACUCCUGUUGUUCUUGUCUUCACACAAGUUACAUCACUGAAAGCUUCGGCGUUGCAUACAGACAUCUGAAUUUCAUCAUCACUAU